rnacentral:rRNA from 1 species
CACGUAGGGCGCAAGCGUUGUCCGGAAUUAUUGGGCGUAAAGAGCUCGUAGGCGGUCUGUUGCGUCCGCUGUGAAAACUCGGGGCUUAACCCCGAGCCUGCAGUGGAUACGGGCAGACUAGGAGUGAGUAGGGGAGAAUGGAAUUCCCGGUGUAGCGGUGAAAUGCGCAGAUAUCGGGAGGAACACCGGUGGCGAAGGCGGUUCUCUGGGCCUUACCUGACGCUGAGGAGCGAAAGCGUGGGGAGCGAACAGG